GUUAUCGUCAAAACAAUGAAAUUCUAGUUAUGACUUUACACAGGAAAAAGUUUUUAUCUUUAAUAAUUUCAUGUAUUUGUUGUGUUGCUCGCGCGAAUAUUUCCAGCGAUUCGGAUGAUAGCAGUAUAAAAGAAGCACUAGUUUUAGUUGAUUUACUUAAAACAGAAUACAUCAAGGCUUUACGGGAAAAUGUCGCUGGAAUUUAUUACGAGGAGAACAAUAAUACCAUUUUUGAAGAUCAGUCAACCUGUGCAACCACAACGAUGGGACCGAACUUCAAUGACAGCCAAGGCAAUAAUAAUUUAUUAAAAAGUGCAGAAAAGCGUAUCAAGGCAGCAAUACCGCAACAUCAAGACUUGGGUUGGACGGAACAUUACACUGGUCAAUUGACUUCACCUGUACCUCUGUCAACCCUGCCAGGUCCUCAUAUAACUCCACCACAACAGUUCCAGUAUGGUCUGACGCCACCACCUGAAUUACCUUUUUAUAGAGAACAUUUUCAACGAU